UACGUAGGGUGCGAGCGUUAAUCGGAAUUACUGGGCGUAAAGCGUGCGCAGGCGGUUUUGUAAGCCAGGUGUGAAAUCCCCGGGCUCAACCUGGGAAUGGCAUUUGGGACUGCAAGGCUGGAGUGCGGCAGAGGAGACUGGAAUUCCUGGUGUAGCAGUGAAAUGCGUAGAUAUCAGGAGGAACACCGAUGGCGAAGGCAGGUCUCUGGGCUGACACUGACGCUCACGCACGAAAGCGUGGGGAGCAAACAGG
rnacentral:rRNA from 1 species